AUUGAACGCUGGCGGCAGGCCUAACACAUGCAAGUCGAGCGGAUGAAGGGAGCUUGCUCCUGGAUUCAGCGGCGGACGGGUGAGUAAUGCCUAGGAAUCUGCCUGGUAGUGGGGGAUAACGUCCGGAAACGGGCGCUAAUACCGCAUACGUCCUGAGGGAGAAAGUGGGGGAUCUUCGGACCUCCCGCUAUCAGAUGAUCCUAGGUCGGAUUAGCUAGUUGGUGGGGUAAAGGCCUACCAAGGCGACGAUCCGUAACUGGUCUGAGAGGAUGAUCAGUCACACUGGAACUGAGACACGGUCCAGACUCCUACGGGAGGCAGCAGUGGGGAAUAUUGGACAAUGGGCGAAAGCCUGAUCCAGCCAUGCCGCGUGUGUGAAGAAGGUCUUCGGAUUGUAAAGCACUUUAAGUGGGGAGGAAGGGCAGUAAGUUAAUACCUUGCUGUUUUGACGGUACCAACAGAAUAAGCACCGGCUAACUUCGUG
rnacentral:rRNA from 1 species